GUUAUGCUACAGUGCACUCGAGCGAUGGAUUAUGAGCUUGCUCUUAUGAAGUUAGCGGCGGACGGGUGAGUAACACGUGGGUAACCUGCCCAUAAGACUGGGAUAACUCCGGGAAACCGGGGCUAAUACCGGAUAACAUUUUGAACCGCAUGGUUCGAAAUUGAAAGGCGGCUUCGGCUGUCACUUAUGGAUGGACCCGCGUCGCAUUAGCUAGUUGGUGAGGUAACGGCUCACCAAGGCAACGAUGCGUAGCCGACCUGAGAGGGUGAUCGGCCACACUGGGACUGAGACACGGCCCAGACUCCUACGGGAGGCAGCAGUAGGGAAUCUUCCGCAAUGGACGAAAGUCUGACGGAGCAACGCCGCGUGAGUGAUGAAGGCUUUCGGGUCGUAAAACUCUGUUGUUAGGGAAGAACAAGUGCUAGUUGAAUAAGCUGGCACCUUGACGGUACCUAACCAGAAAGCCACGGGCUAACUACGUGCCAGCAGCCGCGGUAAUACGUAGGUGGGAAGCGUUAUCCGGAAUAUUGGGGCGUAAAGCGCGCGCAGGUGGUUUCCUAAAUCCGAAGUGAAAGCCCACGGCUCAACCGUGGAAGGUCAUGGGAACUGGGAAACUGGAUUGCAAAGAAGAAAGGGAAUUUCCUUGUGUACGGUGAAUGGGUAAAAAUUGG
rnacentral:rRNA from 1 species